rnacentral:misc_RNA from 1 species
CUUCUGAAGCAAAUGAGUCUCCAACUUGGAGGCCUACAGCAUAAUCACUCAUCUGUUUCUUCGCAGUUCCCUAAACCCUAAUCGAAGGCACUGUUUCUCCGCCAACAACAGCCAUUAGACAAUGGCAGCAUCUUGUGUUUCUAUUAAACCUUGGACCUUUACCUUAUCUCAUCAUAGGAGCCAGAGAACUAGUACUCUUACACAUAGACGGAGAUCUUCCAUGGCGGUAGUGUCCAUGUCAACCAAAAAUAUUGACAUUCCAAUCAUGGUAAAUGGUUGUGGUGGCAAAAUGGGGAAGGC